AUGCUGUGGUUUCUUUUAAGAACAAAUAAAUCUUUCACAUUUUACUAAAAAUUUCCUUGGAAGAACAGUUAUCAAUCUUUAACUAAAUUUUUAAGGCCUUGAAUAUGUAGGGCU
rnacentral:snRNA from 1 species